rnacentral:rRNA from 1 species
AGUGAACGCUGGCGGUAGGCCUAAUACAUGCAAGUCGAACGGACGCACAGUAAGCGUUCGUCUCUAAGGGUAGCGACUGGCGGACGGGUGAGGCAUACAUAAGCUUCUUAUUUUUCGUGGGGGACAUCGUAGAGCCAUUUCUGAUACUGCAGAAUAUGUUCUACCGCAGAAUUCAAAGGUUAUAGACACUCUUGCUGUCACUUAUAGAUGAAGCCGCGCUGCAUUAGCUAGUUGGUAAGGUAACGGCUCACCAAGGCAACGAUGCAUAGCUGACCUGAGAGGAUGAUCAGCCACACUGGAACUGAGACACGGUCCAGACUCCUACGGGAGGCAGCAGUGGGGAAUAUUGCGCAAUGGGCGCAAGCCUGAUGCAGCCAUGCCGCGUGAGUGAAGAAGGCCUUCGGAUUGUAAAGCUCUGUUGUUAGGAAAGAAAAGCAGCAUGAGAAUACCCCGCUAUUCUGACGGUACCCAAAGAGAAAGCACCGGCUAACUUCGUG